GACGAACGCUGGCGGCGUGCUUAACACAUGCAAGUCGAACGGAAAGGCCCUGCUUUUGUGGGGUGCUCGAGUGGCGAACGGGUGAGUAACACGUGAGUAACCUGCCCUUGACUUUGGGAUAACUUCAGGAAACUGGGGCUAAUACCGGAUAGGAGCUCCUGCUGCAUGGUGGGGGUUGGAAAGUUUCGGCGGUUGGGGAUGGACUCGCGGCUUAUCAGCUUGUUGGUGGGGUAGUGGCUUACCAAGGCUUUGACGGGUAGCCGGCCUGAGAGGGUGACCGGACACAUUGGGACUGAGAUACGGCCCAGACUGAUACGGGAGGCAGCAGGGGGGAAUAUUGCACAAUGGGGGGAAGCCUGAUGCAGCAACGCCGAGUGAGGGAUGACGGCCUUCGGGUUGUAAACCGCUUUCGCCUGUGACGAAGCGGGAGUGACGGUAAUGGGUAAAGAAGCACCGGCUAACUACGUG
rnacentral:rRNA from 1 species